UCGAGAAUAUUCGACAAUGGGCGAAAGCCUGACCCAGCAACGCCGCGUGAAGGAUGAAGUAUUUCGGUAUGUAAACUUCGAAAGAAUAGGAAGAAUAAAUGACGGUACUAUUUAUAAGGUCCGGCUAACUACGUGCCAGCAGCCGCGGUAAUACGUAGGGACCAAGCGUUGUUCGGAUUUACUGGGCGUAAAGGGCGCGUAGGCGGCGUAAUAAGUCACUUGUGAAAUCUCCGGGCUUAACUCGGAGCGGCCAAGUGAUACUGUUAGGCUAGAGUGCAGAAAGGGCAAUCGGAAUUCUUGGUGUAGCGGUGAAAUGCGUAGAUAUCAAGAGGAACACCUGAGGCGAAGGCGGGUUGCUAGGCUGACACUGACGCUGAGGCGCGAAAGCUAGGGUAGCAAACGGGAUUAGAUACCCAAGUAGUCCCUGAGCGGGCUGGCAAGGCGCAU
rnacentral:rRNA from 1 species